ensembl:lincRNA
GCACUCAUAAUUGGAUGUAUGAGAUGCAGUCCACGAACUAUUCACAAGCGCUGGGCGUGCUGGCGCACGCCUGUGAGCCUAUGAUCCCAGCACUCGGGAGGCUGAGGCAGGAGGAUCACUGCAGAAUUCGAGACCCGCCUGGGCUACAAGGUGAGCUCAAGGCCAGCCUGAUCUGCAUAGCGAAACCCUGUCUCAAAAACAAACAAACAAACAAAAAAAAACUAUUCAGAAGCUCCAAGUGAAGAGAGGUUAUGGGUCCUGCCAGCAGGUCUGGCACGUGGGACUCCAGCUGGGCCAGGGGUCUUCCUCUUAUCUAAGUGGCAGGCCUUAGGACCAAGGGCGGGGGUUGCCCAGCCCCUGCCGAUGGAGGGGAGUGGCCCCACAGCCACAACUACGACCUACCUUACUAGUACUAGAGAACUGGGGGGCGGGGGGGAGCCCUGAGGGAGGGGACCCCAUUUUGGCUGGCUGUGCCUUAGACAGUGCGGUCCCGCUUGGCCCCCGAAUUAGUGUCAGAAACGAACUACUAGACACCCCGUCGGUGUGAGAAGGAAAAUGCCCUUGGGGGGUGCACCCCGAGGAAGGCCGCCCCCCCCACCCGCGGAGCUCGGGGAGACGCGAGAGAAAACGCCGCUCAGGCGCCCGCCGCCCGCCAGGGGGCGCAGCGCGAGGGGUGCGGCGCCGCUCGGGGGCGCUGAAGCGGGUCGGGCGCCGCGAGCCGAGGCUUCGGGCCUCUCCACGGAGUUAUGGCCGGGGGCCAGGGAUCAAGUCACACAGCGGCCCCUCGGACAGGCGGGGCGCAGCGGGAGCGGCCGGGAGACGCCGCCGGUGGGCUCCGCUCCGCCCCUCCGCAGGGCCCCGCCGGCCAGUGCGCACGCGCGGCGCGCAGGUCCCCGGCGCCCCGCCCCCGGGCUCGCGGCGUUUGGCGGACGCUGUUGCGCAGCAAGUGAAAGUAAAUCCCUUAUCUGUAAUGACGAGCCAGGAAAAAACAGUAUGCAAAUACUACGCAACACGUGUCCCAGGAGAGGAAUUGCACGGUACUUUGAGAUACCGCUUUUGACACAGUCUGCAAAGAAGGCGGAGGGAAGCGGGCUCUGCUGCGGGAACGGCACAGCCCGACAGAGGGAGCCCGGGAGCAUCUCACCACACUUCCGGUGCGUUUCCCCUUCCCCGGCGCGUUGCAGGGCUGAGAAAUUUCCCUGAAGAAACGCCUGCCCCAGCAGGAACCUGGAUGUAUGCAGGAGGUCACUGGUGGCAGGUGUGCCAGCGUUUGGAUUGGCUGAGCGAACUCCUGCGCGUCCACACGACGCACCACAUUGUGCACUGCGUGGUUGUGAAACAGAUCUUUGAGAGCUGAAUGAUUUCCAGGGUAUACUGAUUAGUGUAAGGGUGCUAAAUAAAAGAGCACUGACUAAUGCCAUUUUGUGUAUAAGAGGAGGGCAUGUACCGUCCUGAGCCCCGCUAAAAAAAGCAGCUUUGGCAGUGAUGAAAUCUGGCAGGUAUCGUCUCCAUCAUUUGGUCAGUCAACAUCACCAAUAAGGGCGGGACUGACAUUAUGUGGCCAAGGUGUGCGCUCUGAACUGGAUCACAAAGAAACCGACUGAGGGACCAAGUAAUGGGCCGGAUUCCCAAAAGUCAGGCUCCACAGCAGGACGUGGUGGUGCACGCCUAUAAUCCCAGCAUUCUAGAGGCUGAGGCAGGAGGAUCACUGAGUUUGAGGCCAGCCUGAACUACAUAGCAAGAUCCUAUCUCCAAAAACCAAAGAGAAAAAAAAGUCAAGGGGCGAGAGGUAUAGCUCAGCGGCACAAGUGCCUGCCCGGCAAGUGCAAAGUCCUGAGUUCAAUUUCCGGUACCAAAAAAAAAAAAAAAAAAAAAAGGAUCAAAAAAGUCAAGAUCAUUUAAGAUUAAGGGAAGAAACUGUUCUGAAUUAAAGGGGAAUAAGAGAUAGGCCAGCGAAAUGGCACAUGGGUCCUUGGACUGGGGAAAGUAAUACUGCUAGGAGUGAUGUCCUUGCUUAGUCUGUUUUCUGUUGCUAAAACAGAAUACCGCGGACGCAUAAUUUAUAACGAAGAGUUUACUUAGCUCGUGGUUCCGGAGGCUGGGAAGUCCAAGGUCACAGCUGCUGUGUCUGGCCAGGGCCUUUGUGCUGUAUCCUAUAUAGCGAAGGGUGACACCUAGCAAGAGGCAAAAGGCGCUCGCUCUGAGGAUCAAGCCACUCCCAGCAGAAGGCCACACCCUACUCUCCACCCAAACACCUCCCCAGGCCACGGCCAGGAAGGGGCAGGAACCAGAGCAGGUGUUUCGUGGAAAUUAUUGCAGUUGGCAAAAUACGACUCUGGGCUGAAAGGUGGAUAUUAGCACAGGAUCCGUGUACGAUUCUGAGUUGGAUCCUCGAAGUGUGGUUGAGCAGGAGAAAUGCCCAUACACCCUGCAGUACUUAGGGGUCAAGGGCCAUGAUUUCUGCAACUUAAUCUCAGAUGGCUCGGGAAGGAAACGCUCAGUAUGUUCCCUAUUUGUUGAUCAUUUCGAAGUUCCUAGUUGUAGUGGAUUGAUAACUGGUGGUCAGCUUAACCCCCAGCUGAGCAGAGUAAGCGUGGUGCUGGGUGUGGGAGCCCACCUGCGGACUGUUGCCAGCAGCAUAAGAGGCAGACCUGGAGAAGAAGUGAGGCUGUCCGGAGCUGGUGGAAGCUGUAAGGAGCUGUUGGUUGACUUGAAGGAGCUCAUCAUGCUGGCUUUCCUGAGGCUGUUUUCAUCCUCUGAGGAGGUCGGGACGUUGCGGGCACUGAGAAUGGCUUUGGUUCACUUUGGGGGAGCUCUGGUCCUCACUGUGAGCAUCGCUUCCUGGCUCUGGAGGCGAAGAUGGUGCACUACUCCAUCUCCUGGAGAAGCGUGUCGCAUUGGCUUCCCUGAUGGGAACUCGGCCAUCCUGAUCAUCAGAGGAGCUCGGGACUUCACUGUUGCUGAGGAUGGCUGUGGUACCUUCCGGGGGCGCUCUGGUUCUCCUGAGCGUCGCUUCCUGGCUCCAGUGCAGACCCCUCAGCCUGCUAGCACAGAUCCUUCAUCCCGCUGGGACAGAUUUCCUAGAUUCCACCACUGACCUUUGGGCCUUCUGAGCACAGAUCUGUGAAACAGGCCUGCAUGAGAUACUGUUCUGGGCUCUGGGCCUCCAGGUGGACUCGUGGGAAGCACUGUUAUGAGCUCUGGGUUUUCAGCUGGACUCAUGCAGGACAUUUCCAUGGGAUCCAGGCCCUCGGCCAGUUUCCUUGGUCUUAGUGUGUGGACAGAUUUCCUGCACUCUUUUGUAUAUCAUUCUUUGGGUGACUAUUAUAAAUAUCUUAUAAGAUAUAUGUCCUGUAUUAUAUAUUGUUCCCCUUGUACAAAGUAACCCCCAAACCAACACACUAGUUUAAAAAAAAAAAUCAUUCUUGUGAACAGCGUCCCUAUCAACAUUUUUAAAAAUCUGAUUUCCCUCGCUACUGUUUCCAGGGUAAACGCUGGAAUUAUGAAUAGCAGAUUAUAGCACAUGGUCUCAGCGUCAGUGAAAAGAGUGGCUGGCUUCCCUGGAGAGGGGGGCGAGCUGUGAAUAGCAGCAGCUCCUGAGAGCAGCUGCCCCCACUCUGCCGAGGAGAAGACACCCUGCGCCUGACGGGCUCCCCAAAGACCUUUCCGGUUCAUGACACCAUGGUCCCAGGACUGUAGGUCUCAUGCAGGCCUCAUCCCCUGAGUGUAGACUUUGGACAAUGGGCUAUUUGUGAUUAUUGGCUCGUUGCCAGUGGGAGAUUUUCCUCAGAACCACAGGGUGAAGCUUUGUGUGCAGGCUUGUUUAAAGGAGUUGUGUAAAUCAGUAUGAAUCCAAAGUCUAAAAGAAAAACUAUUUGACCUAAAAAAACUGAGUUGAAAGCAAAUUUAAAAAAAAAAACCACUGCUAAUGGUAGUGUGACUUGCUCCAGCUAUUUUGUUUUGUUUUGUUUUUUUGAGACAGAGUCUUGCUAGGUAGUCCAGGCUGGCCUCAAACUCACAGCGAUCUUCCUGAGUCAGCCUCCCAAGUUCGGGUAUUACAGGUGUGCACCACCACACCCAGUGCUCUAGCUACUCUGCAAAACAGGUUAGAUUUAUCUGUUAAAGCUGAACAUUAGCUUGGCCUAUGCCAAAUUCCCCUCCUAGGUCCAUAUCCAGAAAAAUGCCUGCCUGUGGGCUGCAGGACUGAUAACUGGACGUGUCAGAGCAGUCAGACUGGAAACAAUGCAAUGCCCAACAGUGAGGGAAUGGGUAGAAAAAUAUGGUGUAGUCACACACAGGCUGUUGUAUAGCAAUGAGAACCCAUAAAGUGCGGCUAUGCCCAAGGGUCUGUAGGACUCUUAGAAACAUUGAGGGGAAAGAAUGAAAGGCUCCGAAGUUUACUUAUUGAUUAACAUUAUUUUUAAAAGUAAAAAAUCAGCCAGGUGUGGUGGUGCAUGCCUGUAAUCCUAAACAGGGGAGGCUGAAGCAGGAGGAUUGCUGCAAGUUGGAGCCCAGCCUGGGCUCCAUAGUGAGUUCAAGGCCAACCUAAUCUACAAAGUGAGACCUUGUUUCAAAAAAAUGACACAUAAUCCCAGCACUCAGAAGGCUGAGGCAGGAGGAUCGCUGCAAGUUGGAGAUCAGCCUGGGCUACAAAGUGAAUUCAAGGUCAGCCUAAACUGCAUAGUGAGACCCUGUCUCAAAAAGACAAAAACAAACAACCCCCCUGCCCUGCCACAAACCAAAACAAAAUGAAACAAAACAAAAAUAUAAAAACCUACAACAAUUUAUUGGAUAUACUUGUUUGUAUUUAAGACUCAGUUUUUAAAACAAUGGAGUGAUGAAUGUAAAACUAAGGCCAGGAGCCAGGGGGUUACAAUUAAACGAGCAGCGGAGAUGUAUGAGCAAUAUUCUCUUAAAUUGGGGGAGGUACUUUGUUCAUUUUAAUACUAGGCUUUGCACCCUGUCAUCUAGGUUACAGAAGUUCUAGCAAAUGUACUGAAUAACAUAUUACAUAUCAAAAACCGCUGGUAACCCCAUUCCUCCAAGGUAUACACCGUGUGCUGCGUUUGCAAAUAACAAUGUAGAUAUAGUCAGAAAACCAUUACAUUUUUUAGAACUGGAAGAGACUUUCAAGAUGGUCAUCUAAUCUAAAAUGUAACCAUUUAAAAUUAUUUUUUUUUAUAAGUUUAUGUGAGAAAGUAAAAGUGAGGAGUGGGGGAGAAACUGGCUCUGCAGAGUGAACUUGAGCCAAGUAAACAGAAAAAGAGGGCGAGAGCAAAGAUAAAAGUACGCGCUGCUGCUGGGAAACACAGCGUGGGAAAUCGUGGAAAGCCACCAUAGACACCAUUUAAAAAUUAUAACUACUAACCGGGUGUGGUGGCACACGCCUGUAAUCCCAGCACUCGGGAGGCUGAGGCAGGAGGAUCCUGUGAGUUCGAGACUAGCCUGGGCUACAAAGUGUGUUCAAGGCCAGCCUGAACUGCAUAGCAAGACCCUGUCUCAAAAAGGCAACAACAACAAAAAAAUUAUAAGUACUAGCAAAUAUCACAGUUUGGGAAAUUGAAGUGGACUUUUUAGGUUAAAAUCAAUGGCAAAAGUCAGGAAAGAAAAAACUGGAGAGGUUUUAGUUAAUUAAAAUUGUGUGUGUGUGUCUUGGGGGGUACUGGGAAUUGAACUCAGGACCUUGUGCUUGCUAGGUAGGUGCUGUGCUGCUGAGCUAUAUCACUGGCCCAAGUUAAUUAAAAUUUUAAAAUCAUGGAUUGAAUCAUUGUAAGCAAAAUUAAGCCAAAUGAUCAACUGGGCUAAAAAUCUGUCACAUCUAUGACAGCCUAAGGAUUAAUAACCCUACAAUAGAAAGAACCCAUAUAAAUCAAUAAGAAAAGUACUAGUAUCAAAAUCAGUGUUAAUGCAUAACAGAAAGCACACAGCCAAGAAAACAGUUGAGAAAAAAACAGUUUUCCUAGCAAUCCAGAUUUUAAAAAGCAAGCCUAACCUUUUAUUAAAGAGAGCAUUUGGAGACUUGGGGUGCAGCUUGACGGUAGAACAUUGCUCAGCGGGUGCCAGGGGAUUGGGUUCAAAUCCUUGUGAGAGCAGACUGGGAGAGAUUGACAGAGAGAUUUCAUUUUUCAGUAAUCAAAA